rnacentral:rRNA from 1 species
CCUACGGGAGGCAGCAGUGGGGAAUAUUGCACAAUGGGGGAAACCCUGAUGCAGCGACGCCGCGUGAGUGAAGAAGUCAUUCGUUAUGUAAAGCUCUAUCAGCGGGGAAGAAAAUGACGGUACCUGAGUAAGAAGCCCCGGCUAACUACGUGCCAGCCGCCGCGGUACUACGUAGGGGGCAAGCGUUAUCCGGAUUUACUGGGUGUAAAGGGAGCGUAGACGGCAGUGCAAGUCUGGAGGGAAAGGCGGGGGCUCAACCCCCGGACUGCUCUGGAAACUGUACGGCUGGAGUGCAGGAGAGGUAAGUGGAAUUCCUAGUGUAGCGGUGAAAUGCGUAGAUAUUAGGAGGAACACCAGUGGCGAAGGCGGCUUACUGGACUGUAACUGACGUUGAGGCUCGAAAGCGUGGGGAGCAAACAGGAUUAGAUACCCUAGUAGUC